rnacentral:rRNA from 1 species
UACGGAGGGGGCCAGCGUUGUUCGGAAUCAUUGGGCGUAAAGGGCGCGUAGGCGGCUUUGUAAGUCCGUUGUGAAAUCCCUCGGCUCAACCGAGAAACUGCGACGGAUACUGCUUGGCUUGAGUCCCGGAGAGGGUAGCGGAAUUCCCAGUGUAGCGGUGAAAUUCGUAGAUAUCGGGAGGAACACCAGUGGCGAAGGCGGCGACCUGGGCCAAUAGUUGACGCUGAGGUGCGAAAGCGUGGGGAGCAAACAGG